rnacentral:tRNA from 1 species
GGAAGGGUGGCCGAGCGGUCUAAGGCACCUCCCUGCUAAGGAGGAGCGGGCUGACCCGUCGCAGGUUCGAAUCCUGCCUCUUCCGCCA